UACGUAGGGUGCAAGCGUUACUCGGAAUUACUGGGCGUAAAGCGUGCGUAGGUGGUUUGUUAAGUCUGUUGUGAAAGCCCCGGGCUCAACCUGGGAAUGGCAAUGGAUACUGGCAGGCUAGAGUGCGGUAGAGGGUAGUGGAAUUCCCGGUGUAGCGGUGAAAUGCGUAGAGAUCGGGAGGAACACCAGUGUCGAAGGCGGCUACCUGGACCAGCACUGACACUGAGGCACGAAAGCGUGGGGAGCAAACAGG
rnacentral:rRNA from 1 species